rnacentral:lncRNA from 1 species
UACAAUAUAAUAUAUAAAAAACAAAAAAACUGCUACAAAAUUUCAAAGCAUUUUCAUGUCUUCGUGUCAAUAUUUCCAUAUUUUCUUCAAUUUAUUAUUUUCCACAUCUUCAAUAUUCACCAUAAUUUCUUCCAAAUCUACAAGAAAAUUAAAAAGAAUCUGAUUGAUGCAAAAACACUCACAAAAAUACAUAUGUGAAUUUCAUGUGAAUCACAUGUAAUUCAUAUGUGAAUCACAUGUAAUUCAUAUGUGAUUUACAAGUGAAUCACAUGUAAUUCAUAUGUGAAUUUCAUGUAAAUCACAUGUAACUCAUAUGUGAUUUAUGCCCCACCCCAAAACCGAGAACGGCGGAAUACGUUAUGGGUGGAGGACGUCAUGUGAGUAUCAUAACAUUUGCAUAAUAGUAAAAACAAGUGUCAACAAUCAUUGCAUUAAUAUAGUAAAUUUAAUUACAAGUGUGUUCUGUAUAGUUUUGAUAGACACCAAAAGUAUAACAAAAUAAAAGAUGAGUCUUGUAUACGCUCCAUCUUCUCAAAAGUUGCACCAGUACAUGUCUAUCUUCGACCUGAGAAUACAAGUUAUUUUGAAAAUGAGUAUCAGCAUAAAGCUGGUGAGUUCAUAAGAAUUUAGUGUCGUUGUUUGUAUAAAAGUGUUUACAAUCAUGUAGUAUGAAAGCUAUAAUUAAUGUUAAGUAUAGUAGAAAUCCUUAGAAAAUCCUAUAUUUUCCAAAUUUGAGCAUUUGUAAGUUAAAUCCUUCGAAUGUGUAAAAGUAUUUCCAUUGAAACCUUCAGUUAUAAAAAUAAGGUAAUAAAUUUCAUUCAAGUAUCGUAAAUAAGGAAAAGCAUUGUCGGUUACAUGUAGUAGUGUUGCAAACUUCUAUUAGUAAUAUAGGUUUAUUUACUUCAGGAAGUUAGCUUAGACUUUAAGUCUUAGUGUGUUAAUUUGGAUAUGGAUGUGAUCUCUCAUGUAACCAAACUGAAUGAUAAUAGAGUGUCCGAUGACCUUCCCGGUCAUACGUAGUGUAGCGAUUUAGUGCCAUCCCUGGGCCUAGUCGGCUCGGACUGUAGUUAACAGUCGAGAUGUAAUAGCAUCCGUCCAGUAUAGAUCUAUACAUGUAGUGUUGCUUUCCUUCCGGGAAGCUCUGGUUACAUGGUAUUUGCGCAGUAGAGUGCCGUAUACAGGGGUAAUGUGUUAUGUUCUGGAUUAGUGUAUUCUCUGGUAUUAUAGUAUAGUAACUUUUAGUAUAGUGUAUAGAGUAUUCUCUUUAUUGUGCAUUAACAUGUAGUAGUAGUAUUUAUAGUAGGUAUCAUAGUAAUAGAGUUAAUGAGCAAUAGUCUUAACUAUACAUAUUAUAGUUAAAUAGUGUGUGGGAUUGCAAGCCUUUGAUUCACAAAGGUAUUGAAUAAGAUGAAGACUUUCAUAUCUAACACAAAUAUAUGUGAUAUAUAACUAAAAAUUCAACGACAGUCGGACGGAUAACAGUAUACCCUAAGACCACAAUCAAACAAAAACAGGAAAUAAGGCGAGUUAUCGGUCCUAAGUCCUUCAAGUCUUACUUAUAUAAAUAUAUUGGUGUAGAUAUAGUUUAAAUGAAAAGUAAUUUAAAAGCAGUUUCAAAAUAAUUUGAUGACAAAGGAAAAUGCGUUUGAUGAUUAUCUAAAACAGUUUUAUUGACAAGUAGCUAAAAGUAUAGAAAAUCUUUUUUAGUUGCAAGUUAUAAAUCACAUAUGAUUUGAUACUAAAACUUGUUGCAUUUAACUUGUAUCCCCCCUAAAACAUGUAAAAAUAUUUAAAUAGGUUAAUUAAAGGGGUAUGAACUCACCUGUAGCGAGUAGAUCGAGUGGAAAUGUCGGAUGCGCGCUUGGUGUCAAGUAAAGACUUGAACACACUCUAUGACCCUAGUAACAUAUGAUGACAUAUGUUUACGAGUAAUUAGUGAUUAAGACCCUAAUUAAACACAUAUAGACAUCCUAAUGUGAAGAAAAACACUUUGGUCAAGUGUUAGGAGGCUAUUUAGGUUGCAAUGAAAGAGUAUAAAGCCUCACCAUGGAGUUUACUCUUCUAAUACUCACCUUAGGUGAGUUUACGGCUGAGGGACCACUUCCCCCAUGAGUUUACGGCCGUAAACUCAUGGGAGGAGUGUAUUUGUGUGUUUUCAAGUCUCUUGUAUCACUAGGAAGGGUUCCAAGGUAAUUUCCAAGGCUUAAGGGGUGUUUACGGUUCAAAAGAGGCACUCCCUUGGAGUUUACAGUCCUAGGACCACUCCUUGGGAGUUUACGGUUGUGAACCCCAUGGCUUACAGCCGUGAACUCUUGAAUGCCUCUCAUACUUCGCUUUUGGGGUCCAUAGCUCAUUCCUAAAAGUUUCUAAGUGAAGAUCCAAGGCUAAAUAGGGGUUUAGGGCUUAAUUUGCAUAGUUUGAGGGAGUUUACGGCCUAAGGGUGUUCUUGGGCCGUAAACCCUCUUUUAAGCCUCUAAACAUAAGAUUAAAUGUCUAAAACACUUCUAGGGUAUGUUCUAAGUUAGCCUCUAAGCCUAAGGAAGAGGUUUGGGGGCAUCUUGGCACACUUUUAGGGGUUUACAGCCCUAGAGUGUUCUUGGGCCGUAAACUCCUUACUCUUGGCCUUCUUGGAUGAUUUUCAAGCUAUAAUGACUUGUAUUGAGUUGUAGAAUAAUUUAGGGUAAGAGUACUUACAGUUUGGAAGCUAAAACUUACGGAUUUUGGAAGAAAUCAAGCCUUGAAGAAAGAGAGAGUAACUAGGGUGGUAAAAGGUCCAAAUGAUGUCUACUCACCCUUAUAUAGGGGUUGGGUUUGUGGCCAGGUGGAAAUCUACCCGAUACUGACGUUAAACGGGGUUUAAAUUUCUACCCGAUUAAAUGGUCGUAACACGGCUUAGUCGUGAACUAAAAUUUUCUCAAAUAAAUUCAAGGUGUUACCUGUGUUUUUAUUUCGUUUCAAUAAAAUAAAAACAUUAAUUUAUAUUUCUAACUCAAAUAUUAACUGAAAUAAUAACAAUAAAUGUUAUUUUAUUAGCGGAACUGGGUUACAAUGACAGAAUAAAUUUAGGGUUGUCACAAUUUACAUGUGAAUCACAUGUAAUUCAUAUGUGAUUUACAUGUGUGUCACAUGUGAUUCAUAUGUGAUUUACAUAUGAAUCACAUGUAAUUCAUAUGUGAAUUACAUGUGAAUCACAUAUAAUACAUAUGUUAUUUACAUAUGAAUCACAUGUAAUUCAUAUGUGAAUUACAAGUGAAUCACCAAGUUAGUAUGUGAAAAAAUAUGUAAAUGUAUAGAUACCAAGUUAGUAAACAACUAUGUGAAAAAAAUAUAUACAUGUAUACAUACCAAGUUAGUACCUAUAUACCUGCACAUUCUAGGUUGUUUAUUCAUAAUUUUCAUUAAAACAAAUUUUGGUUUUAAAAAAUCAAUUAUAUCCAUAUAAACCACAACUUGAUGAUUCUUGGGAUCCUUUAGAGGAUCAGUGUAGUUUCUAAAUCGAUUAUGACCGCUUAUUCCUUGACAUGGUGGACCCCCACAAAUAAAGUCAGCAUCACCCUGGUCAACAUAGUCAAUGUAAUUUCAACAUUUAAAAAAAAGGACAAAAAAGAUAAUGAUAAAUGAUAAAAAGAAAAAAGAAAAGUUAUCUGACAGGAAGAGGUAGUAAUCUUGAUUGGUAUCCUUUGCUUACAAAUUCCUUUAUAGAAUCCACAGAGUUGCUAUUACAAUUUACAACAGAGAGCAUUUAUGAUUUACAUGUGAAUUAUAUAUGAUUAAUAUGAAAAUUACAGGAGAUUUACAUGUGAAUCAUUUGUAAUUCAUAUGUGAUUUACAUGUAAAUACAUGUGAAUCACUACACACUUGUAGUAUUACUUCCAAUUAAUUAGUAAAAUAUUAUAUCAAUUCAUACAAAUAACAAAUGAUUUGUUAUUGAUUAUUAUCAUUGACCAAUUAAUUGAUACACAUUUAUAUUCUUGCUUCCAAUUAAUCACAUGUUAAAGAAUAAAAAAAGGAAUAUAAACCAAAAAAAUAUUUUAUCAAUGCCAACACACGGCUGAAAAAAAAAAUAAUGAAUAUAGAAACUUAUUCACAAAAUGAUUGAAAUGAAAUAUAGUAAUAUACUAACCUUGUAAUUGGUAGAUAAUUUACCAACAUUAACAUCAAAAGGUGAUAUUUUGGUUAAACCAAGAAGGUGGCAAUUUAUAACUCUUUCUUAGAGGGCUAUCCCUAUUAUCAAAUUCAAAGCAAUUUAUUUCCAUUUUUUGUUGAUUUCUAUCCAAACUAAAUCACAAACAUAUUUAUAAUAUUUACCCAUUUAAGCCUUCAGACAUAUAGGAUCUUACUGGCACAUCCUGUGACUAUUUAUUUACAUCUCACUCUAAAUUGGUGCAUUUUGCCCAUAUAAUGCAGUUCUUACAUUGUGUCCACUUCACCUGCAAUGAUAAAAUGUCUGACUUAGCACAUACUUUUAUAAGAAAUAUUGCAAUUAAACUGCAAAGAUGAAUAAAGACUUGUAACAAAGUAUAUCAAUAUAUUGGUUGCAAUUAAUAUGAGCAAGAGGAUCAUCAUUUAGUGCCGAAAUAACACGUCCUUGUUCUAUUAAGAUUGUAUCUAUAACUCUUUCAUUACGACAACCCUUACCCUUUAAGAAAUAGGUCAGAUAAUCACUAAGGCAUAUUAUUAAACACAUUGCAGGCAAUAUCAUCUUACCAAAUAUAAUUGCAUUUCAAUAACAUAACUGCAACAAUAAGUCAAAAUAUAAACGAAAUACAUAUCACAGAAAAACUAUCUACACUUGUAGAGAAAUCCUCAGAAGUGUGACUCGUUUUUCGGAAUUAUUAGGCUAUCUAACAUAUUAAUUAGGUUUACCAACAAAACUUCAAAAGCAUUUUUAGGUUUAUCAAAAAUGAAUGUAAAGAGGUAACCGAGAAAUCUUCAUUGUCCCAUAACCAGUGAUAAAUUUAGAACAAAUUUCUUUUCCCUCAAAGGAAUUAUCGAACGCAUAAACUUGUUAAUAUAAAUAGGAAGAAGAAAUCAUACCGAUUACAACGAAGGACUUAGGUGGAGACGGGAAAUCGAUAAAGGAAUGAUCAUUAACUCCAUAUUUAGACGAAAUUUUGGAGGCGCGAAGGGUAUGCAUUCAAAAUCGGUCAGAGACAAGAGAUCAAUGAAGGAAUGAUGGUUAAUUUCUUAUAUGUACAUCGUUGGUGUUGAUUUUGGAAGAAAGCGACAAAUUAGAUGAACGACUGAUCGACGAAUGAGGUAGAGAUUAUGCGACACCGAAGACGGUCAACCACCGAAGAAGAGCUUGAUGAAGGGAAACACCGGAGAAGAAGCUCGCUGCGAGGAGGAUUAUAGAUCGUAGGUUUGAGAGAGAGGGGAGAGAGUUAGAGAAAAAAAGGGUUUAAAA